UAGUAACGGCGAGUGAAGCGGGAUGAGCUCAAGCUUAAAAUCUCCGUGCAAUUUUUGCAUGGCGAAUUGUAGUCUAUAGAGGCGUGGUCAGUAUGAGCACUUAGGGUAAGUUCCUUGGAAGAGGACAGCAUCGAGGGUGAUACUCCCGUUCAUCCCUAAGUUGCUUGUGCGUACGACCCGUUUUCUUUGAGUCGCGUUGUUUGAGAAUGCAGCGCAAAGCAGGUGGUAAAUUCCAUCUAAAGCUAAAUAUUGGUGCGAGACCGAUAGCAUACAAGUACCGUGAGGGAAAGAUGAAAAGAACUUUGAAAAUAGAGUUAAAGAGUACCUGAAACUGCUGAAAGGGAACCAAAUCGUUUCCAGUGUCUAUAAUCCAUAGUAUAUUCCAUUGGCGAGCGUGUGUGUGCGUGUGCUUUUGCAGUGGCCUUUUGGUUGCGCUAGGCGUGUGUGUGCGUGUGCUUGCUGGUGCCCUGUGCUGUGGUGGGACGUCAAGGUCAGUUCGUAUGCUGCGGGAAAUGGCUACCGAGGAGGUAGGGCUUACGCUUGCGUUUGUCUGUUAUAUCUUGGUAGACAAGUAGUCGCGGUUGGGACUGAGGUGCCUAUAACGUGCUUUUGAGUGGACUUGCGUCUCUGUGUGCGCUGUGUGCGGAUAGCUUGCUAUGCGUGUGUGGCUGUGUGUGGAU
rnacentral:rRNA from 1 species